GUGAGGAAUUUUCCGCAAUGGGCGAAAGCCUGACGGAGCAAUGCCGCGUGAAGGAUGAAGGCCUAUGGGUUGUAAACUUCUUUUCUCAGAAAAGAAUUAUGACGGUAUCUGAGGAAUAAGGAUCGGCUAACUCCGUGCCAGCAGCCGCGGUAAUACGGAGGAUCCAAGCGUUAUCCGGAAUCAUUGGGUUUAAAGGGUCUGUAGGCGGUCUUAUAAGUCAGUGGUGAAAGCCCAUCGCUCAACGAUGGAACUGCCAUUGAUACUGUAAGACUUGAAUGCUUAGGAAGUAACUAGAAUAUGUAGUGUAGCGGUGAAAUGCUUAGAUAUUACAUGGAAUACCAAUUGCGAAGGCAGGUUACUACUAAGUGAUUGACGCUGAUGGACGAAAGCGUGGGGAGCGAACAGGAUUAGAAACCCCGGUAGUCC
rnacentral:rRNA from 1 species